rnacentral:lncRNA from 1 species
AGCUGCAGGAGAGGACAGUGCUCGUGGGGUGCAGAGCAUGAAGGGCUGCACUCCCCAAGGAGUGAGCAGCCCGGUAUGGCUGCAAGGGCAAAAGGAAGCAACAAGGGGAGUGGGAAUGAUGCAAGAAACAGCAGGUGUCAGAGAUUAAAUAAGUUUUGGUGAAGACAAUUCAAGGGAGGACUACGGAACUAAGUAGAAAUGAGCAUAAAAUGCACGAUAAUCUGGUUGAUUCUCCUUGGAAAUUGAAGACUGCAGUAUUACUGACUGUCCAGUGAGAGAAUUUUCCAAGCAUGGUUACUCUACCUUUGUAUUCUCUCCCAUGGAUUUGGCACUAACCAUCAUGUAUCUAAACACAUGAAAUGUGAAGAUGGAAGCACUACAUGAGGCACCACACAGGAUAUCUAA